GUGAAUCGACGGUUUCUCCAAAAACCACGAUUUUUCAUCUUCCUGUCCAUGAUCUUUCUUCUUCCUCCACGAUUUCCUUUUUUUCCGUUUAACUGCAGAAAAAGAUCUAUGCCAGUUGUUGAUAAAAUAAAAAUAAAAAGAGAUCUAUGCCAGUUUUUUUCUAUUCUGUGGCUGGUUCUUACCCCUAUUUCUCUUCGAAUUCCACCAAUUCCAAUGAAGAAAUCUAAUUGAAGAAAUCUGGUGGCUGCGGUUUGUUCUCGCCUUCGCUUACGCGAUCUGCAGAUUCCUCCCAACGUUCCUUCCAUUGACGUUGAUGAAUCAGAUGCAGGUUAGCCGAUUGUUGGAUUUGAUUGUUCGUUGUUUAUACAGUCACAAGAGGUAGUCCUCAGGGAACUUUUAAGUAACGCAAGUGAUUCUUUAGAUAAGCUGAGGUUCUUAAAUGUAACGGAGCCUGCUUUGCUUGGAGAUGGUGUGAUACUGGUAUUGGAAUGACAAAGGAAUAACUUCUAGAUAGCCUUGGAACCAUAGCUCAGAGUGGCACUUCGAAAUUCUUGAAGGCUCUAAAGGAAAAGAAGGACCUUGGUGCCGACAACGGAUAGAUUGGACAGUUUGGUGUUGGGUUUUACUCUGCUUUCUUAGUGGCUGAAAAGGAAAAAAUUUGAAGAUAUCAUUGAAUUAUACUCAUGUUUCCCAACUUAAGCUUUCUAAACAAAAUGGAAGAUGAAAAGCUUGAAAGCCAUUGGAUAUUCAACUUAUAAUUUCCAGGUGAGUUAUGAAAGUAAUUUUAAUUGUAACGUGUCAUUGAUCACUAAGAGUAAUAUGAAACUCUGGACUUCCUUCACCAAGAGUAAGUCCGGAUAUCUCUUCAUCAUUUUUAAAAUCAUUUUUGGAUCUUGCUAUAUGUUUUGGUCUGGAACCUCCCGAGUCAUUAUUACUUCCAGUGUGUUGUGUUGUUGAUGUUGUAGUUAAGCUGCAAGUAUAUGUGUUCCUAGAGAUCAUCUUCACUAAAUUCAGAAAGAUACUAUACUAUGAGAAAUGUAAUGUCUCGAACUCAUAAAGCCAUAA